UACGAAGGGGGCUAGCGUUGCUCGGAAUCACUGGGCGUAAAGGGUGCGUAGGCGGGUCUUUAAGUCAGGGGUGAAAUCCUGGAGCUCAACUCCAGAACUGCCUUUGAUACUGAAGAUCUUGAGUUCGGGAGAGGUGAGUGGAACUGCGAGUGUAGAGGUGAAAUUCGUAGAUAUUCGCAAGAACACCAGUGGCGAAGGCGGCUUACUGGUCCCGGUUCUGACGCUGAGGCGCGAAAGCGUGGGGAGCAAACAGGG
rnacentral:rRNA from 1 species